rnacentral:rRNA from 1 species
UACGAAGGGGGCUAGCGUUGCUCGGAAUCACUGGGCGUAAAGCGCACGUAGGCGGCUUUCUAAGUCAGAGGUGAAAUCCUGGAGCUCAACUCCAGAACUGCCUUUGAUACUGGAGAGCUUGAGUUCGGGAGAGGUGAGUGGAACUGCGAGUGUAGAGGUGAAAUUCGUAGAUAUUGGGAGGAACACCAGUGGCGAAGGCGGCUCACUGGACCGGAACUGACGCUGAGGCGCGAAAGCGUGGGGAGCAAACAGGG